UACGGAGGGUGCAAGCGUUGUUCGGAUUUACUGGGCGUAAAGCGCGCGCAGGUGGAUGAACAAGUCGGAAGUGAAAUCUUGAGGCUCAACCUCGAGGCUGCUCCCGAAACUGUUCGUCUAGGGACUGGUAGAGGCUGGUAGAAUUCCCGGUGUAGCGGUGGAAUGCGUAGAGAUCGGGAGGAACACCAGCGGCGAAGGCGGCAAACUGGAUAGGCACUGACACUCAACAACGAAAGCGUGGGGAGCAAACAGG
rnacentral:rRNA from 1 species